CCCUCUUAGUGACCAGGAUGUAGCUCUCACAGUGGCCACGUUGUGGUGUUACUAGUGGCCAUGGCGUGUACCAGUACUGGCCAUAUAUAUGGACUAGUUAUUAACCACAUUAUGGACAAUGUAGUGAUCAGAAUGUGACUUCUUAGAAGACAUUUUAAUGGUCAGUUAGUGAAUAUAUCCUGGAGGAUUUAUUGGACAUAUUAUGGUGUUGGAAGAUCCAGCAUACCAAGAAUAUUUUAACACAAGUCAAAGGUUACUGACGAACUCCAAGAUAUACAUAAGUAUACACGAAGGAUACAAAGGAGGAACAAGUAAGUUUUAUUGUCUGGUGUUCGACGUUCAGGGAAGGACGAGGUUACGAACUCUCUGAGGAAGAGCUUCCUGGAGUGUUAACAAGUGGACUGAGUAACAGAUAACAGCCAGGGAGACCAGAGUCAACAGUCGUGACGAGGGAGAGCGAUGGUACAGGACUCGACGACACAGUUUGAAACUGAAGGAUAAGUGCAGAGUUAUGCUGUGUCUCUACAACUGUGGUAUAGGAGAAUCUCACGUGUACCAUCUUCAGUGUUUGUUGUUACAGUAGCAGAGCUAUGAUGAUGAUGAUGUCACUCUUUCAGUGUUCUUAGAUACAGACACAGCUAUGUUCAUGGUACAUGCAGAACAAGCCACAUAGAGAUAGAAAUCUUUAUCUCUAGAUGUCUUCUUCCUUGCCUCAGAGAAUUUCCCCUCCUAUCUGUUGCUGUCUUGCAACACUACAUAGCUCCUGACGACGCAACAGCCUGAAAGACCAAAAGCUAAAUAUUUGUAGCCCUAUGUGGCU